GGCACUUCCACAUCAUUCUUUUCAAUCAUGUGUCAUAUUCAAGUCCAUUUCCAUUUUAUGCAUUUAUUCGUAAAUUAUGGAAGAUGAAAACUAAAGUGGGAAAGCACCAAGAAGAGGGUCAUCUCUCUCUCCUGGGACAGGAACACGAGCUCGAGUUAUAUAUUCUGUGGAGAGAAAGCAAGAGUAAAAACAAUAAACGUCCUGAAUAUACUUUCCAUUAAGUUUUUCUUCCCCCCUUGGAAGAUGAAUUGCAUUUUAUCAGUUAUCUCAGAGAAGCACUUUGAAAUGAAGUAAGGAAAUAAACAUGGCUCUACAUUUUUAAACAGAUGAUUUGUUACCAGACUAUGACCAUAAUGGAAAAAAAGCCAACUCCCUUGAGGUUUCUGAUGCCAAGGCAUGACUGCACAUUGAAUGUCAUCAGAGUUCUCCUGGCUGGUUACAUGUUCAUUGUGAAUCUGCAAAGCGGGGGCACUACUCAUUGUUGUCACUCACGGGUAGAAGAAGCCAAUGGAGGCUCGAUUUGGACAUGAACUUCCCAGGGACUAGAGAAUGCGGCGCUUAAAACUUCUGCUAAAUUAUGUGUUUCCUUUGUGCUUCCAUUUCUUUGGCCACAGCAAGUCACAUGACAUGAUAGGAAACACAACCCUCCCACAAAGCCAGUGGAGAACUGGAAUCUUUGCAAAUGGCCCUCAAGCCUGUCAUCUAUGUGCAUGGUAACAGGAGAGGGAAUUGGAAAGGUGAGUUAGGGGCUGCUUUCUGAAGUUGUGUUUGCAAAACACACAAACCAGUUUAAUAUGGUCAGGCUUUGUGUCCCUGCCCAAAUCUCAUCUUGAAUUGUAAUCCCCAGAUGUUGAGGGAGAGACCUGGUGGGAAGUGACUGAAUCAUGGGGGCAGUUGCCCCCCUGCUGUUCUCAUGAUAGUGAUGAGUUCUCAUGAGAUCUGAUGGUUUUAUAAGGCAGUUUUCCCUGCUCUUGCUAGCUCUUCUCUCUCCUGCUGCCAUGUGAAGAAGAUCCUUGCCUCCCCUUUGUCCUCCAUGAUUGUAAGUUUCCUGAGGUCUCCCCAUCCAUGUGGAACUGUGAGUCAAUAAAACCUCUUUCCUUUAUAAAUUUCCAGUCUUGGGUAGUUCUUUACAGCAGUGUGAAAAUGGACUAAUACAUAGUUUUACCUUUAUUUUGUUUCUGUGAGGUGUUUUUCAGUUGAAGGUAUUCAUGG
rnacentral:lncRNA from 10 species